UACGGGGGGAGCAAGCGUUGUUCGGAUUUACUGGGCGUAAAGGGCGCGUAGGCGGCCACCGCAAGUCAAUUGUGAAAUCUCCGGGCUUAACUCGGAAAGGUCAACUGAUACUACGGGGCUAGAGUGCGGAAGGGGCAACUGGAAUUCUCGGUGUAGCGGUGAAAUGCGUAGAUAUGACAUAGAACACCGAUUGCGAAGGCAGCUCACUAAACAAUGAUUGACGCUGAGGCACGAAAGCGUGGGGAUCAAACAGG
rnacentral:rRNA from 1 species